UUUGAUCCUGGCUCAGAACGAACGCUGGCGGCAUGCCUAACACAUGCAAGUCGAACGAGACCUUCGGGUCUAGUGGCGCACGGGUGCGUAACGCGUGGGAAUCUGCCCUUGGGUUCGGAAUAACAGUUAGAAAUGACUGCUAAUACCGGAUGAUGUCUUCGGACCAAAGAUUUAUCGCCCAGGGAUGAGCCCGCGUAGGAUUAGCUAGUUGGUGAGGUAAAGGCUCACCAAGGCGACGAUCCUUAGCUGGUCUGAGAGGAUGAUCAGCCACACUGGGACUGAGACACGGCCCAGACUCCUACGGGAGGCAGCAGUGGGGAAUAUUGGACAAUGGGCGAAAGCCUGAUCCAGCAAUGCCGCGUGAGUGAUGAAGGCCUUAGGGUUGUAAAGCUCUUUUACCCGGGAUGAUAAUGACAGUACCGGGAGAAUAAGCCCCGGCUAACUCCGUG
rnacentral:rRNA from 1 species